rnacentral:rRNA from 1 species
UACGUAGGGGGCUAGCGUUGUCCGGAUUUAUUGGGCGUAAAGAGCGUGUAGGCGGCCAUGUAGGUCCGGUGUGAAAACUCGAGGCUUAACCUCGAGAUGUCAUCGGAAACCAUUUGGCUAGAGUCCGGAAGAGGAGAGUGGAAUUCCUGGUGUAGCGGUGAAAUGCGCAGAUAUCAGGAAGAACACCAAUGGCGAAAAGCAGCUU